ACCACAAAUCUCGAUGCAAUAAAAAUAAAUGCGGAAAAUAAAAAGCACACCGAGAUUUACGUGGGAAAACUCCAACUUGGAGAAAAACCCACGGGACCAACACGCGAAAAAAUAAUUCACUAAGAGAAAAGAUUACAAGGUGAUUACCGACUCCACGGACUUAACCUCUCUUAACCUCCUAUGAAUCUUCGCGCUACCCUCCGGGUUGUCCACGCCCUCACGUCCGAAUCCACGAACGCCUCCACUUCGAAUCCACGAAGCUUCAAUCACGCCGAAUCCACGAC
rnacentral:lncRNA from 1 species